rnacentral:rRNA from 1 species
GUAGUCUCGCACAGAUGCAUAUCAAUAAGCGGAGGAAAAGAAACUAACAAGGAUUCCCCUAGUAACGGCGAGUGAAGCGGGAAGAGCUCAAAUUUUGAAAUCUUAAAGGGUUUCCCUUUACGAAUUGUAGUUUAAAGAAGUGUUUUCUGUUGAGGUUUUGGUAAAAGUUCUUUGGAAUAGGACAUCAUAGAGGGUGAGAAUCCCGUAUUUGACCUUUACUUUCAACUUUGUGAUACACUUUCAAAGAGUCGGAUUGUUUGGGAAUGCAGUCCAAAAUGGGUGGUAAAUUUCAUCUAAAGCUAAAUAUUGGCGAGAGACCGAUAGCGAACAAGUACCGUGAGGGAAAGAUGAAAAGAACUUUGAAAAGAGAGUUAAACAGUACGUGAAAUUGUCAAAAGGGAAGCGUUUGACACCAGUGUUGUUUUUCUGAAAAUCAAUUAAAGAACUGUUUAUGCUAAGUUGUUUAGACUUUAUCAGCUAACUGUUUAGUUUUGAGCUUUUCUUUAAUGCACUUUUCAGUUAACAAGUCAACAUCAAUUUCUUUUGCUGUAAAAAAGCUUGAGGAAGGUGGCUUGAGAUUCGUCUUAAGUGUUUAUAGCCUCUUGCCUAUGCAGUCGGAGAGAUUGAGGUCUGCAGCGUAGAUCCUUCGGGGCUAAAUGCAUUUGUGCUAAAGUUAUAGCAUUUUAUAGACAACUUGUUGACUAUGAUUUGUCUUGUAGCUUACUCGCUUAUGUUAUUUUACCUACGCUUAGGAUGUUGAUCUGUAGUGCGUGCGC